UCUCAUUGAUUUUCAAUUUUUGAUUAGUUUGUUACAAGUUUAAUACGGUAUCACUGUUGCAACAAAUAUUUAUUCGGCUAAUAGGAGCAUUCUAAUUAGACCAAGAGGAUCAUGUUCUCAUAUACAAGUAAUCUCCUCCAUUCACCCCAGAUAAACAACCUUGUAUAUGUAUUUUUUUGAUGUAUAAAAUGAUCAGGAACGAACAAAAUUGUCUGCACUAUUCAAAAAAUAUCGUAAAGUGCUGUGCAUGAUUAGAUGCCAUCUACCAUAAAAUGGAUGGCCAUCCAAAUUAUUCAAAUAUUCUAAAAAUUUAUACAUUCUUUUUUUUUUAAUUUUUUUAACACGUGUGCGCGGUCGUCUAUUUUAAGAUAGACGAUAUCUAAUCAUGCACAACAUCCUAC
rnacentral:lncRNA from 1 species